GUAGGGGGCGAGCGUUGUCCGGAUUUAUUGGGCGUAAAGAGCUCGUAGGCGGCUCAGCAAGUCGGCCGUGAAAGCCUGAGGCUCAACCUCAGGACGCCGGUCGAAACUGCUGUGGCUAGGGUCCGGUAGAGGAGAGUGGAAUUCCCGGUGUAGCGGUGAAAUGCGCAGAUAUCGGGAGGAACACCAGUAGCGAAGGCGGCUCUCUGGGCCGGCACCGACGCUGAGGAGCGAAAGCUAGGGGAGCAAACAGGAUUAGAUACCCUGGUAGUCCUAGCCGUAAACGUUGGGCACUAGGUGUGGCGGAUUCAUUGACAUCUGCCGUGCCGAAGCUAACGCAUUAAGUGCCCCCGCCUGGGAGUACGGUCGCAAGGCUA
rnacentral:rRNA from 1 species